UACGUAGGGGGCGAGCGUUGUCCGAAGUUACUGGGCGUAAAGCGCGCGUAGGCGGUCUCUUAAGUCCGGGGUGAAAGGUUCAGCGCUCAACGCGAACAGUGCCCUGGAGACUGGGGGACUUGAGUGUGGGAGGGGGCAGUGGAAUUCCGGGUGUAGCGGUGAAAUGCGUAGAUAUCCGGAGGAACACCGAUGGCGAAGGCAGCUGCCUGGCCUGACACUGGCGCUGAGGUGCGAAAGCGUGGGGAGCGAACGGG
rnacentral:rRNA from 1 species